rnacentral:rRNA from 1 species
AAUGGCUGCAGUAAUUUGACUGUACAAAGGUAGCAUAAUCAUUAGUUUUUUAAUUAAAAGCUUGUAUGAAAGGUUGGACGAAAUAAAAUCUGUCUCUUUUUAAUAUAAUUAGAAUUUAAUAUUUAAGUUAAAAAGCUUAAAUAAAUUUAAAAGACGAGAAGACCCUAUAGAGUUUAAUAAUUUUUUUUUAUUAAUUAAUUUAGAUUUAUUUAUUUUAUUUUAAGAAAAUUAUUUUAUUGGGGUAAUAGAAAGAUUUAAAUAAUUCUUUUUUAAUUAAAUCAUUAAUUUAUGAAAAUUUAUGAUCCAUUGAAUUUUGAUUAUAAGAUUAAAUUACCUUAGGGAUAACAGCGUAAUUUUUUUUAAGAGUUCAUAUCGAUAAAAAAGUUUGCGACCUCGAUGUUGGAUUAAAGAUUAGUUUAGGUGUAGAAGUUUAAAUUUUUGGUCUGUUCGACCAUUGAAUCUUUACAUGAUCUGAGUUCAAACCGGUGUAAGCCAGGUUGGUUUCUAUCUUUAAAAAGAUUUGAUAUUUUAGUACGAAAGGACCAAAUAUUAUAUAUAUAAAUAUUUAAAUAUUGAAUAUU